GCGGUAAUUCCAGCUCUGUAAGCGUAUACCAAAGUUGUUGCAGUUAAAACGCUCGUAGUCGAAUUUUGGCGGUUUCCGUGAUUUGCCCGCAAGGGUAAUUUUGUGGCGGCCGCCUUUGUGGAUGGGGGCUUGAUGGUGCUUUAUUGCCUCGUCGAGUCACCGCCACCGUUUACUGUGAAAAAAUUAGAGUGUUCAAAGCGGGCGAUUGCCAUUGAAUACAUUAGCAUGGAAUAAUAGAAUAGGACCUGUGUCUUAUUUUGUUGGUUUGUUAAGUUCAGGUAAUGAUUAAGAGGGACGGUUGGGGGCAUUUGUAUUCCGGCGCUAGAGGUGAAAUUCUCGGAUU
rnacentral:rRNA from 1 species